UACGGAGGGCGCGAGCGUUGCUCGGAAUCACUGGGCGUAAAGCGUACGCAGGCGGAUCGGUAAGUCGGGUGUGAAAGCCCGGGGCUCAACCCCGGAAUUGCAUUCGAAACUGUCGGUCUUGAGUACGGGAGAGGGAAGCGGAAUUCCUGGUGUAGAGGUGAAAUUCGUAGAUAUCAGGAGGAACAUCAGUGGCGAAAGCGGCUUCCUGGCCCGAUACUGACGCUCAUGUACGAAAGCGUGGGGAGCAAACAGG
rnacentral:misc_RNA from 1 species